rnacentral:lncRNA from 1 species
CGGGCUGAGAUCGCUGAGCCCGAGCUGAGCCCGAGUGAGGAGGGGAGAGGAAAGGAGAGGAGAGCAGGACAAAGCUCCACGGCGCUCACCCACCGAAAGGCUCUGCCAAACGGGGGAGAUGCUGGGGGAGAUGCUGGCAGACAAGGGGCAGGCUGCUGGGUGCCCGUCGGUGGCAUUACAAGGGAUGCUCGGCGGUCGCGCUUCCCUCACAAAGCGGGAAAAAGCGCUGCAAUUGGGACACAGCGCGCUACUCUCGGAAAUAAAAAAAAUAAUAAAAAAAAGCAAAACAAAAGAAAGAGGCGCACGCAGACAAAACCCAACAACAAACGCACCGGGGGGGGGGGCUGCAGCUCGCGAUGCUCGGCUGCUAACCCCCUGCCAGCCGCCCCGGGGGGUCCCAGCGAGGUUUUUAGGGCUCGGCUCGCCCCGGGCAGGGGGCGUCCCGCAGCCCAGCCCCACCUGGGCGAGCCGGCGGGGCUGCUGCUGGCCGAGCAGCUCGCCCAAGUUGCCGCACAGCCCGGCUCGGAGAAGCGGGGCCAUUGUGCGGGACGAGGCGGCGCGGCAGUGCCAAAAAAAGGGAGAAAAAAAAAUAUGAAAAAGCGGCGCGCACCGCCACAAAGCGACCCGGCGGGCUCCGCAGCCCUGCCCCGGGGCAAAGUUGCGGCCGGGCUCGGCACGGAGCGAACAAAGCGGGGCGGGGAGCGGGGGGAGCCCUCCCGGCGGCUCGCAGCGGUGCCCGGGGGCGAGCAGGUGUCGCGGCGGGGCCGGCAGCGCUCCCGCCCCCCCGGCCCCUCACUCACCCACGCCGUACUUCUCGUGCUCCGUGGGUAUCCACAUGCCGGCGGCAGCGCUCCCCGCUCGGAGCGGCGGCCGGCUCCGCCUGGCGGGCUGCUGCUCAGCCGCGGCUGCCCGGCUCCGCCGGCUGGGGCAUUGUUCCUGCGGACCCACCGACAGACAGACCGACAGACAGACAGACGGGCGGCCGGACAGACCGACCGGAGGCGCCGCUCGGCCGCCAGCCACUUAUAG